ACCCGCUGAACUUAAGCAUAUCAAUAAGCGGAGGAAAAGAAACCAACAGGGAUUGCCUUAGUAACUGCGAGUGAAGCGGCAAAAGCUCAAAUUUGAAAUCUGGUGCCUUCGGCGCCCGAGUUGUAAUUUGGAGAGACAUCUUCGGAGUAGACGCCGUCCUAAGUUCCUUGGAACAGGACGUCACAGAGGGUGAGAAUCCCGUGCCUGGAUGGCUGUUCUACUUCAUGUGAAGUGUCUCCGACGAGUCGAGUUGUUUGGGAAUGCAGCUCAAAAUGGGAGGUAAAUUUCUUCUAAAGCUAAAUAUUGGCGAGAGACCGAUAGCGCACAAGUAGAGUGAUCGAAAGAUGAAAAGCACUUUGAAAAGAGAGUUAAAAAGUACGUGAAAUUGUUGAAAGGGAAGCGCUUGAGACCAGACUCGACCAGUGGUGAUCAGCGGUGCUUCUGUGCCGUGCACUUGCCAUUGGUUGGGCCAGCAUCGGUUUGGACGGCGGGAUAAAGACCUAAGGAAUGUGGCUCCCUCCGGGGAGUGUUAUAGCCUUGAGUGCAAUGCCGCCAGUCUGGACCGAGGACCGCGCUUCGGCUAGGAUGCUGGCGUAAUGGUCUU
rnacentral:rRNA from 1 species